GAGAACCUUCGACCGAGGUUCGACUCGAGCGAAAGCGAGAGAACGUUGCCGCAGGCAACGGCCCGAAGAGUGAGGCGCGAAGCGACGAAUAAUCCUUCCCCCACCACCA
rnacentral:sRNA from 1 species